rnacentral:rRNA from 1 species
GACGAACGCUGGCGGCGUGCUUAACACAUGCAAGUCGAACGGAAAGGCCCUGCUUUUGUGGGGUGCUCGUGUGGCGAACGGGUGAGUAACACGUGAGUAACCUGCCCUUGACUUUGGGAUAACUUCAGGAAACUGGGGCUAAUACCGGAUAGGAGCUCCUGCUGCAUGGUGGGGGUUGGAAAGUUUCGGCGGUUGGGGAUGGACUCGCGGCUUAUCAGCUUGUUGGUGGGGUAGUGGCUUACCAAGGCUUUGACGGGUAGCCGGCCUGAGAGGGUGACCGGCCACAUUGGGACGGAGAUACGGCCCAGACUCCUACGGGAGGCAGCAGUGGGGAAUAUUGCACAAUGGGCGGAAGCCUGAUGCAGCAACGCCGCGUGCGGGAUGACGGCCUUCGGGUUGUAAACCGCUUUCGCCUGUGACGAAGCGUGAGUGACGGUAAUGGGGAAAGAAGCACCGGCUAACUACGU